UGCGCUGCGGAGGAAGACUAAACAACGCACCAUUAGAUUAUAAUACGAAGUAUCCAAUUUUGUUACCAACGAAACACCAUUUUACGUCGUUGAUAAUUAGAGACAUGCAUCACAAAAAUCUACACUCUGGACUAAACAGCACAAUUGCGCAUAUUCAGCAGAAGUUUUGGAUUCCGAGAAUUCGUCAAUGUGUGAAAUACCAUCUUAGAAAAUGCUCACAGUGCAAUAAAGUAACAGGAAAACCUUACCGCGCACCUGAGCCACCGCCGCUUCCGAAAGAUAGACUUAACGAUGAAUAUCCCUUUUUUGUUACAGGUGUCGACUUUACAGGCGCUUUGUGUACAAAAGGACAAAAUAACAUUGACUGCAAAACUUAUAUUUGCCUGUUUACAUGUGCAGCAACACGAGCAGUACAUCUAGAAAUUGUACCGGAUAUGAAAGAAGAGUCAUUCAUGUUAGCUUUUAGGAGAUUUGUGGCACGUCGUUCACUUCCAAGAAUAAUGAUGUCAGAUAACGCUAAUACAUUUAAAGCUGCAGCCGAAUCAAUUCAACAAAAAGUGGUGGAGCAUGGAACCGAAUGGAAAUUUAUCCCAAAUAGAGCCCCAUGGUUUGGUGGAUGGUGGGAAAGACUUAUAGGACUAACCAAAAAUGCUAUUAAAAAAGUAUUAGGUCGAUCAUUUGUUACUAUUGACAUGCUUCGAACCAUAGUGACUGAAAUUGAAAGCAUGCUGAAUAAUCGUCCGAUUACGUAUAUAUCAACAGACAUAACCGACCCACAACCACUUACGCCAUCACACUUACUAAACGGAAGGAGAUUGGAUUCGCUACCACAUCAAAUGGAUGAUAUUGAAAACUUUCACAAUUCUAACCAUUCGUCUUGUAACAAAAAACUUCAGAGACAACAUCAACUGAUUGAACAUUUUCGUACACGUUGGAGGAAUGAAUAUUUAACAUCUUUAAGAGAAUUCCACCGUGCAACUGGUAAUAACGUUCAAACUAUUGAAGUAGGAGACAUCGUUCAAGUUCACAACGAUUCCAAUAGACUUAUGUGGAGGUUAGCCGUCGUGAAGGAGUUGAUUCGUGGAAAAGAUGGAUUUAUCCGCACUGCUAUCAUCAAAACAGAUACUGGUAUUACAAACCGACCAAUUGUUAAAUUAUAUCCGUUGGAAUUACAAGGACCAACUAGUGAAAAUUGUAAAACGCACUAUUUACUUCGUUCCCGCCAAAAGUAAACCAAAAAGGACUUUUACAUAUCAAUUACAUUCAAUGACGGAGGGGCAAAAUGAAAGACAAUUGUGAAUUAGUUAAAGUAAUUUUCAGGAGUAAUUUUAAGUAUCGUAAAUUACAGAGACAGUAAAAGUAAAUUCUUUUUGUAUUCUUUUGUGAUUGUAAAUUUUAUCAUUUUUCUUUAGUAAUUUCCAUUUCGGUGGCCCCAGGAUGUCGAGGAUUGCGGGAACGUUAUGCGUUCGUAUGUGUGCCGUCGCCACUGACGAUGUGACGUCGCGUUACUAUGUAUAUUGUAUCUUAUGAUUCUAUGCUUUUGAAUGAAUGUUGAACCACACGAUUGUAUUUAUUGUUAGUCAAACCCUAAACGAACACAACGCGAAGUACAAACACACUCAAAACCCAACAA
rnacentral:lncRNA from 1 species